CUACGGGUCGCUGCAGUCGAGAAGCUUCCGCAAUGGGGGAAACCCUGACGGAGCGACGCCGCGUGAGCGAAGAAGGUCCUAUGGAUUGUAAAGCUCUGUCAGAUUUGGAAGAAAAGUCUACGGUUAAUACCCGUAGGCCUUGACGGUACCAUCAGAGGAAGCACCGGCUAACUCCGUGCCAGCAGCCGCGGUAAUACGGAGGGUGCAAGCGUUGUUCGGAUUCACUGGGUAUAAAGGGUGCGCAGGCGGCCUGAUAAGUCAGGGGUGAAAUAUGACGGCUCAACCGUCAAACUGCCCCUGAAACUGUCAGGCUUGAGUCCGGGAGAGGAAGGUGGAAUUCCUGGUGUAGCGGUGAAAUGCGUAAAUAUCAGGAGGAACACCGGUGGCGAAGGCGGCCUUCUGGCCCGGUACUGACGCUCAGGCACGAAAGCAUGGGGAGCGAACGGGAUUAGAUACCCUUGUAGUC
rnacentral:rRNA from 1 species